UCCUGUAGCGCCCGCCCCUCCAGGGACAAGACCUCAACACGUUCUCAGCAGGGUCGGGCCUGGUUGGUACGUGGAUGGGAGACCACCUAGGAAGACCAGAUGCUGUAGGUG
rnacentral:rRNA from 1 species